rnacentral:rRNA from 1 species
GACGAACGCUGGCGGCGUGCCUAAUACAUGCAAGUCGAGCGAAUCAAUGGGAGCUUGCUCCCUGAGAUUAGCGGCGGACGGGUGAGUAACACGUGGGUAACCUGCCUGUAAGACUGGGAUAACUUCGGGAAACCGGAGCUAAUACCGGAUAGUUUCUUUUCUCGCAUGAGAGAAGAUGGAAAGAUGGUUUCGGCUAUCACUUACAGAUGGACCCGCGGCGCAUUAGCUAGUUGGUGAGGUAACGGCUCACCAAGGCGACGAUGCGUAGCCGACCUGAGAGGGUGAUCGGCCACACUGGGACUGAGACACGGCCCAGACUCCGACGGGCGGCAGCAGUAGGGAAUCUUCCGCAAUGGACGAAAAUCUGACGGAGCAACGCCGCGUGAGCGAAGAAGGCCUUCGGGUCGUAAAGCUCUGUUGUUAGGGAAGAACAAGUACGAGAGUAACUGCUCGUACCUUGACGGUACCUAACCAGAAAGCCACGGCUAACUACGUGCCAGCCGCCGCCGUAAAAC